CGCGUAUACAAUCUGCCUUUUGCUGAGGGAUAGCCCAGAGAAAUUUGGAUUAAUACCUCAUGGUAUGUGAUCAUGGCAUCAUGAACACAUUAAAGGUUACGGCAAAAGAUGAGUAUGCGUCCUAUUAGCUAGAUGGUGUGGUAACGGCAUACCAUGGCUACGAUAGGUAGGGGCCCUGAGAGGGGGAUCCCCCACACUGGUACUGAGACACGGUCCAGACUCCUACGGGAGGCAGCAGUGGGGAAUUUUCCGCAACGGGCGAAAGCCUGACGGAGCAAUACCGCGUGAGGGAUGACGGCC
rnacentral:rRNA from 1 species